UUUGCAUAUUCAAAAAGCGGAGGAAAAGAAACCAACCGGGAUUGCCUCAGUAACGGCGAGUGAAGCGGCAAAAGCUCAAAUUUGAAAUCCUUCGGGAGUUGUAAUUUGUAGAGGGGUGUCUUUGGGGCGGCAUUGUCUAUGUUCCUUGGAACAGGACGUCACAGAGGGUGAGAAUCCCGUGCGAUGAUGCCUCAACCAGUACAAGACCCUCUCGACGAGUCGAGUUGUUUGGGAAUGCAGCUCUAAGUGGGUGGUAAAUUCCAUCUAAAGCUAAAUACUGGCGAGAGACCGAUAGCGAACAAGUACAGUGAUGGAAAGAUGAAAAGCACUUUGAAAAGAGAGUGAAACAGUACGUGAAAUUGUUGAAAGGGAAGGGUAGGAGGUGAGGGGAAGAGCUGCUUAGGCGCGGGAGAUAAACAAGCAGGAAGCGCUUCGGUGCGGCCUGGUAAAUAUCCCGUGCUUGUGUGGUUCUUCCGUAAUCCCCUUCUACCGCCCGUCUUGAACACGGGACCA
rnacentral:rRNA from 1 species